GGAUAAGAGUUUUUGUGGUUAUGUUUGAAAAACAAAUCCUUACUUUUUAAAGACACAUGCUGAAUAUCUUACAUUUGAAAGGAUGCAUUUGGGAUUUGCUUCAAAGUAAUGGGAAGGGGGCAGGAGAUAGUGUGUGAGGAUACGGGUAGGUCAAGAUUGUCCACAGUUGUUGAAGCUGAGUGAUGGCUGCAUGGAGGUUCAUUUUAUUAUCUUUUUACUUGGCAUAUGUGUGAUACUGUCCAGAAUUAAAAGUUAGCAAAAGGAACAAAGGAGAAGGGAGCCAGUUUCUCUGAUGACGAAAUGCUGAGCUGAGCUCUGGGGAAAAGAGCCCUGUGCUUGAAUAAGACAGACCUCAUUUCAGUCCCACCUUUCACGUUUACUGGCUGUGUGUCCUUGGGCUAUUUAUCUACCCUCUCUGAGCCCCAGAGCCUUCACUUAUAAAACUGAUACCAUAAAGCCUGCCUUAUAAGGUUGUUGUGAGGAGGACACACAAUCUUAUCUGGGAAAGUGCUUGGAAAACUAAGGAACAUUGGGUAUUUUAUCUCAAGGGACGGGUAGAGCAUGAGAUCAAGGCAUAAGGAGACUAUGCCUCUUCGCCCCGCCCCUCUUCAGGGAGUUAAGCUCCCCAGUUUUUCAUUGACAGCUGCAGGGUGGGCCUUUUAUAGAAAAAUACUCAGGUAUAUAAUUUUAUUUAGCAACUUAUUUAUUUAUUUUUAUUUUGCGAGAGAGAGAGAGAGAGAGAGAGAGAGUGCGUGAGUGGGGGAGAGGAGUGGCGGGAGAAAGAGAAAGAAUCCCAAGCAGGCUCCACACUCAGCGAGGAACCCCAUGCGGGGCUGGACCCCACAACCUUGAGAUCAUGACCUGACCUGAAAUCAAGUCACAUACUCAACUGGCUGAGCCACCCAGGCGCCCAGAGAGAGAGACAGAGUAUGAGCAGGAGAGGAGCAGAGAGAGGGAGACACAGAUUCCAAAGCAGGCUCCAGGCUCCAAGCUGUCGGCACAGAGACCGACGCGGGGCUCGAACCCACAAACCACGAGAUCAUCACCUGAGCCAAAGUCGGGCACUUAACUGACCGAGCACCCAGACGCCCCUAACUUAAUUUUUUAAAAUAUUUGUGGUGUUUAAUUUUUCUCAAGCAUUGCGAUGUGAACAGUGAAUUGAGUAUACCACGUCUAUUAAAAUAUUGUUCUGA